AUGAUUGAAGACUUGCUGGAUGAACUCAAUGGAGCAACCAUUUUUACCAAAAUAGAUCUCCGAAGUGGCUACCACCAAAUUAGAAUGAAGGAAGAAGACAUCGAAAAAACUGCAUUUACCACACAUCUCGGGCUGUUUGAAUUCCUGGUCAUGCCAUUUGGAGUGACUAAUGGACCUCCAAGCUUCACAGAACUGAUGCACACUGUUCUGGGCCCUUUAUUAAGACACUGUGUAUUAGUUUUCUUCGAUGACAUCCUCAUAUUCAGCAAGACAUACAAGGAGCACUUGGAACACUUAGCCCUGGUCUUGGAAGCCUUGAGAAAACAUCAAUUAUAUGCAAAAAUCUCCAAGUGCACCUUUGCACAAUCCAAAGUGGAGUAUCUUGGGUAUGUGAUUACUGACAAGGGUGUCACCAUAGAUCCUGCCAAAGUAGAAGCAAUUGUUAGCUGGCCUACUCCCCAAAAUGUGACACAUUUAAGGAGUUCUUGGGACUAG
rnacentral:rRNA from 1 species